rnacentral:rRNA from 1 species
AUUGAACGCUGGCGGCAGGCCUAACACAUGCAAGUCGAGCGAGAAAGCACUUCGGUGUGAGUACAGCGGCGGACGGGUGAGUAAAGCGUAGGAAUCUACCUGGUAGUGGAGGAUAACUUGGGGAAACUCAAACUAUACCGCAUACGCCCUAUGGGGGAAANCGGGGGACCUUCGGGCCUCGCGCUAUCAGAUGAGCCUGCGUAGGAUUAGCUUGUUGGUGAGGUAAAGGCUCACCAAGGCGACGAUCCUUAGCUGGUCUGAGAGGAUGAUCAGCCACACUGGGACUGAGACACGGCCCAGACUCCUACGGGAGGCAGCAGUGGGGAAUAUUGCGCAAUGGGCGAAAGCCUGACGCAGCCAUGCCGCGUGUGUGAAGAAGGCCUCGGUUGUAAG